UACAGAGGGUGCGAGCGUUACUCGGAAUUACUGGGCGUAAAGCGUGCGUAGACGGUAGCGUAAGUCAGAUGUGAAAGCCCCGGGCUCAACCUGGGAACUGCAUUUGAGACUGCUCUGCUCGGGUGCGGAAGAGGGAAGCGGAAUUUCCGGUGUAGCGGUGAAAUGCGUAGAGAUCCGGAAGAACACCAGUGGCGAAGGCGGCCCGCUGGGCAGUGGCUGACGCUGAGGCGCGACAGCGUGGGGAGCAAACAGG
rnacentral:rRNA from 1 species